rnacentral:rRNA from 1 species
GGCGGCGUGCNUAACACAUGCAAGUCGAACGAGGUAGCAAUACCUAGUGGCAGACGGGUGAGUAACACGUGGUCAACCUGCCUCCGUGUGGGGGAUAACUAGCCGAAAGGUUAGCUAAUACCGCAUACGAUCGCCCUGGGGCAUCCCUAGGCGAUGAAAGGAGCAAUCCGCACGGAGAGGGGACUGCGUCCCAUUAGUUAGUUGGUAGGGUAACGGCCUACCAAGACUGCGAUGGGUAGCUGGCUUGAGAGAGUGACCAGCCACACUGGAACUGAGACACGGUCCAGACUCCUACGGGAGGCAGCAGUGAGGAAUUUUCCGCAAUGGGCGCAAGCCUGACGGAGCGACGUCGCGUGUGGGAAGAAGGCCUUCGGGUCGUAAACCACUGUCGAAGGGGACGAUAUUGACGGUACCCUUGGAGGAAGCCCCGGCUAACUACGUGCCAGCAGCCG